GAGUUGAUAAACGAAGUGAACAUCAGGAUGAUGACGCUUCUGCAGGACCCGCCGGGAUGGCGUUGCAAGGACAGGCUUCAGGAUGAAGCACAGGAUAACGCGGGAUUGCGUAAAAGGACACCUCCAGGAAGGAGAACGAGAGCCGAGCGGGACGUUCGGUGGAUCAGGAAGAUCAGGAUAGACUUAAGGAUGAGUUAUUUCGCAUCGGGGUGGUGUGAAAGCAGGAUGCAACUGUUUAUGGAUGAACAUGGUCAGGAGACCUCAGGAAAAGUUUUCAAGGACGAGCAGGGAGCACCAAUGUAGCUGGAUUGCUGCAAAACGAACCGGGAGCACUGUUUUAUACAGUGCUCCCUUUUUUUAUU
rnacentral:other from 1 species